rnacentral:tRNA from 1 species
CAGUGGAAAGCCAAAAUAGAGGCAUUUAACUGUUAAUUAAAAAAUUGUAAUUACUAUUACUUCACUGG